rnacentral:rRNA from 1 species
UACGAAGGGGGCUAGCGUUGCUCGGAAUCACUGGGCGUAAAGCGCACGUAGGCGGCUUCUUAAGUCAGGGGUGAAAUCCUGGAGCUCAACUCCAGAACUGCCUUUGAUACUGAGGAGCUCGAGUCCGGGAGAGGUGAGUGGAACUCCGAGUGUAGAGGUGAAAUUCGUAGAUAUUCGCAAGAACACCAGUGGCGAAGGCGGCUCACUGGCCCGGUACUGACGCUGAGGUGCGAAAGCGUGGGGAGCAAACAGG